UAUAAGAUUGUAUUGUGUCC
rnacentral:piRNA from 1 species